rnacentral:rRNA from 1 species
UACGUAGGGGGCAAGCGUUGUCCGGAUUUAUUGGGCGUAAAGAGCGUGUAGGCGGCCAAGCAGGUCCGCUGUGAAAACUCGAGGCUCAACCUCGAAACGUCGGUGGAAACCGUUUGGCUAGAGUCCGGAAGAGGAGAGUGGAAUUCCCGGUGUAGCGGUGAAAUGCGCAGAUAUCGGGAAGAACACCCGUGGCGAAGGCGGCUCUCUGGGACGGUACUGACGCUGAGACGCGAAAGCGUGGGGAGCGAACAGG